rnacentral:rRNA from 1 species
AUGAGACGACUCGCCGGCGGCGCCGCGCUGGUCCUCCUCCUCCUCCUGGCCAUCACCGCCAGACCUGCCGCCGCCGACUUCUUCUCCCCUCUCAGCCCCCUCCUCGCCCCCGUCAUGGGAUCGCUGUGCAAGACGGUGGCGUGCGGGAAGGGGAACUGCACGGUGACGACGGGGCUGCCGGGGUACAGGUGCGACUGCGAGCCCGGGUGGAAGCAGAUGCACGUCGGCGACAGCCUCAGGUUCCUGCCCUGCGUCAUCCCCAACUGUACCAUUGAUCACACAUGUUCUAACGACACUUCAGCCCCAACACCGGCGCCUUCACCCAAAAAUGUCUCCGUCUCAGCAAACCCUUGUGACUUAGCUUACUGUGGUUCCGGGGGCACAUGCAAGAACGCCACCGGGCUCAGCUACCACUGCGAGUGCAAGGAGGGCUUCAGCAAUGUUCUGAACAUGACCACAAUGCCUUGUUUUCAAGACUGUUCUUACGGAGCGGAUUGCGCAGCCAUCGGGAUCGUACCAUCCACAAACUCCAGUUCUACAGCACCACCAGCUGGCUCUGCAAGUGUUUCAAACAAUUGCAAUGCACCUGUUCCAGGAUCUGUUUUGCGGCAAAUUCUGCUUCCUCUGCUGAUAUUGGCCUCACUGGCCAUGGGUCAGGCGACAUGA